AGGCUUAACACAUGCAAGUCGAGGGGCAGCAUGGUCUUAGCUUGCUAAGGCCGAUGGCGACCGGCGCACGGGUGAGUAACACGUAUCCAACCUGCCGUCUACUCUUGGACAGCCUUCUGAAAGGAAGAUUAAUACAAGAUGGCAUCAUGAGUUCACAUGUUCACAUGAUUAAAGGUAUUCCGGUAGACGAUGGGGAUGCGUUCCAUUAGAUAGUAGGCGGGGUAACGGCCCACCUAGUCUUCGAUGGAUAGGGGUUCUGAGAGGAAGGUCCCCCACAUUGGAACUGAGACACGGUCCGAACUCCUACGGGAGGCAGCAGUGAGGAAUAUUGGUCAAUGGGCGAGAGCCUGAACCAGCCAAGUAGCGUGAAGGAUGACUGCCCUAUGGGUUGUAAACUUCUUUUAUAAAGGAAUAAAGUCGGGUAUGGAUACCCGUUUGCAUGUACUUUAUGAAUAAGGAUCGGCUAACUCCGUGCCAGCAGCCGCGGUAAUACGGAGGAUCCGAGCGUUAUCCGGAUUUAUUGGGUUUAAAGGGAGCGUAGAUGGAUGUUUAAGUCAGUUGUGAAAGUUUGCGGCUCAACCGUAAAAUUGCAGUUGAUACUGGAUAUCUUGAGUGCAGUUGAGGCAGGCGGAAUUCGUGGUGUAGCGGUGAAAUGCUUAGAUAUCACGAAGACUCCGAUUGCGAAGGCAGCCUGCUA
rnacentral:rRNA from 1 species